UCCGGGCGGGGAGGAGGCGCUUCUGCCUCCCCCCUCUGGCGGCUGUCGCCUGGCGAGGGAGGCACCGCUGGCUGGGCCGGGCGGGGGCGCAGCAGCGACCGCCUUCCCCCGACUCCCCCAAGAAGGCGCGGGCACAGCCGUCCCUCCCAGUCCCCGGGAGCCUCUCUGCCGUCCCCCUUGGGCCUCUCAAGGCGGCUUCCCUGGUCGAUUUGGAUAUCGGUUUUCGCUGGACUUGGAAUUAGGACUUGAGGGCGGCUAGGGGGCGGGGGGCGAUGCGGGAACGGAAUCUGGGGUGCGGCUGCUUAAGAACUUGGCGCCCGUGCAACGCUCUCCCUCAUACACACACUCAGGGUGGUGGUGGGAAACCUGGUCCUGCUUUUUCCUUCUCCCUUUCCCUCGCCCCCUCCCCCUCUAUCCUUGUUAUUCUAUGUUUAUCUUCCUUGGGCUGGGGCUGCGUCUCCGGCAGACCCUCCUCUCGCCCUCCCCGCAGGAGCUCUCCGGUGAUGUAAUGCGGGACCCGCGCAGAGAGAAGCAGCAGCAGCCUCGGCAGUGGCGGCACCGGCGGUUCUUGCCCUUCGUGAAAAUCGUGAUCUCAUUUCUCCGUCCAAGGGUGAAAGCCAGUCAUCACCAGUCCAUUUACACUUUCCGCUUUUAUUAGCAAGCCCAGAAGACAGCAAGAUCCCGCAGGGAGUAUUUGUGGAGAGGAUGAACGAAUAAGAAUCAAGCUGAAGGAAGAGAAAGAAGGAAAGAAAGAUAUCAAUAAACCACCAAUGUGUAGACAAGAGGAGGAACUGUCAUAACUAUUAAGUUUCUGUGACAUUUGAAAAUAAAUGUCCUUUUUAAUCUG